CUGUAGCUCAGUGGAUAGAGCACCAGACUCCGACUCUGGGUGUCGCAGGUUCAACUCCUGUCAGG
rnacentral:tRNA from 1 species